rnacentral:rRNA from 1 species
AGUGAACGCUGGCGGUAGGCCUAACACAUGCAAGUCGAACGGCAGCACAGUAAGAGCUUGCUCUUACGGGUGGCGAGUGGCGGACGGGUGAGGAAUACAUCGGAAUCUACUUUUUCGUGGGGGAUAACGUAGGGAAACUUACGCUAAUACCGCAUACGACCUACGGGUGAAAGCAGGGGAUCUUCGGACCUUGCGCGAUUGAAUGAGCCGAUGUCGGAUUAGCUAGUUGGCGGGGUAAAGGCCCACCAAGGCGACGAUCCGUAGCUGGUCUGAGAGGAUGAUCAGCCACACUGGAACUGAGACACGGUCCAGACUCCUACGGGAGGUAGCAGUGGGGAAUAUUGGACAAUGGGCGCAACCCUGAUCCAGCCAUACCGCGUGGGUGAAGAAGGCCUUCGGGUUGUAAAGCCCUUUUGUUGGGAAAGAAAAGCAGCAGGUUAAUACCCCGCUGUUCUGACGGUACCCAAAGAAUAAGCACCGGCUAACUUCGUG